UUGCAAUGAUGAAAACUCCAAAAUGAGUAUUAUUUUGAGAGUUUUAAAAAGCUCUGUGAAACGUCGGCUUUUAUGUCGAUCUGAGCGGUUACCUGAGCAA